rnacentral:rRNA from 1 species
GACGAACGCUGGCGGCGUGCCUAAUACAUGCAAGUAGAACGCACAGUUUAUACCGUAGCUUGCUACACCAUAGACUGUGAGUUGCGAACGGGUGAGUAACGCGUAGGUAACCUGCCUGGUAGCGGGGGAUAACUAUUGGAAACGAUAGCUAAUACCGCAUAAUAUUAAUUAUUGCAUGAUAAUUAAUUGAAAGGUGCAAUUGCACCACCACCAGAUGGACCUGCGUUGUAUUAGCUAGUAGGUGAGGUAACGGCUCACCUAGGCGACGAUACAUAGCCGACCUGAGAGGGUGAUCGGCCACACUGAGACUGAGACACGGCCCAGACUCCUACGGGAGGCAGCAGUAGGGAAUCUUCGGCAAUGGACGAAAGUCUGACCGAGCAACGCCGCGUGAGUGAAGAAGGUUUUCGGAUCGUAAAGCUCUGUUGUAAGAGAAGAACGGGUGUGAGAGUGGAAAGUUCACACUGUGACGGUAUCUUACCAGAAAGGGACGGCUAACUACGUG